rnacentral:rRNA from 2 species
GGUGAGUAACGCGUGGGAAUCUACCUUAAGCUGCGGGAUAACAGAGAGAAAUUUCUGCUAAUACCGCAUGUGCCCGAAAGGGGAAAGAUUUAUCGGCUUAAGAUGAGCCCGCGUUGGAUUAGCUGGUUGGUGGGGUAAAGGCCUACCAAGGCGACGAUCCAUAGCUGGUCUGAGAGGAUGAUCAGCCACACUGGGACUGAGACACGGCCCAGACUCCUACGGGAGGCAGCAGUGGGGAAUAUUGGACAAUGGGCGCAAGCCUGAUCCAGCCAUGCCGCGUGAGUGAUGAAGGCCUUAGGGUUGUAAAGCUCUUUCACCGGAGAAGAUAAUGACGGUAUCCGGGGAAGAAGCCCCGGCUAACUUCGUGCCAGCAGCCGCGGUAAUACGAAGGGGGCUAGCGUUGUUCGGAAUUACUGGGCGUAAAGAGCGCGUAGGCGGAGAGAUAAGUCAGGGGUGAAAUCCCGGGGCUCAACCCCGGAAUUGCCUUUGAUACUGUUUUUCUUGAGUGCAGAAGAGGUAAGUGGAAUUCCGAGUGUAGAGGUGAAAUUCGUAGAUAUUCGGAGGAACACCAGUGGCAAAGGCGGCUUACUGGUCUGCAACUGACGCUGAGGCGCGAAAGCGUGGGGAGCAAACAGG